rnacentral:rRNA from 1 species
GUAGGUGGCAAGCGUUGUCCGGAAUUAUUGGGCGUAAAGCGCGCGCAGGCGGUCCUUUAAGUCUGAUGUGAAAGCCCACGGCUCAACCGUGGAGGGUCAUUGGAAACUGGGGGACGUUGAGUACAGAAGAGGAAAGCGGAAUUCCAAGUGUAGCGGUGAAAUGCGUAGAGAUUUGGAGGAACACCAGUGGCGAAGGCGGCUUUCUGGUCUGUAACUGACGCUGAGGCGCGAAAGCGUGGGGAGCAAACAGGAUUAGAUACCCUGGUAGUCCACGCCGUAAACGAUGAGUGCUAAGUGUUAGGGGGUUUCCCGCCCCCUUAGUGCUGCAGCUAACGCAUUAAGCACUCCGCCUGGGGAGUACGGCCGCAAGGCUG